rnacentral:rRNA from 1 species
GUGUAGGGGUAAAAUCCGUAGAGAUCAGAAGGAAUACCGAUUGCGAAGGCGAUCUACUGGAACAUUACUGACGCUCAGAUGCGAAAGCGUGGGGAGCAAACAGGAUUAGAUACCCUGGUAGUCCACGCCCUAAACGAUGUACACUAGUUGUUGCUAUACUAGAUAUGGCAGUAAUGCAGUUAACACUUUAAGUGUACCGCCUGGGGAGUACGGUCGCAAGAUUAAAACUCAAAGGAAUAGACGGGGACCCGCACAAGCGGUGGAGCAUGUGGUUUAAUUCGACGAUACGCGAAAAACCUUACCUGGCCUUGACAUAGUAGGAAUCUUUAAGAGAUUAGAGAGUGCUAGCUUGCUAGAACCUACAUACAGGUGCUGCACGGCUGUCGUCAGCUCGUGUCGUGAGAUGUUGGGUUAAGUCCCGCAACGAGCGCAACCCACGUGAUUAGUUGCUAACGGUUCGGCCGAGAACUCUAAUCAGACUGCCUUCGUAAGGAGGAGGAAGGUGUGGACGACGUCAAGUCAUCAUGGCCCUUACGGCCAGGGCUACACACGUGCUACAAUGGGAUAUACAAAGAGUCGCAAUACCGCGAGGUGGAGCAAAUCUAGAAAAUAUCUCCCAGUUCGGAUUGUUCUCUGCAACUCGAGAACAUGAAGUUGGAAUCGCUAGUAAUCGUGGAUCAGCAUUGCCACGGUGAAUACGUUCCCGGGUCUUGUACUCACCGCCCGUCACACCAUGGGAGUUGAUUUCAUUCGAAGCGGGGAUGCUAAAGUAGCUACCUUCCACAAUGGGAUUAGCGACUGGGGUGAAGUCGUAACAAGGUAACC